UACGGAGGGUGCAAACGUUAUCCGGAAUCACUGGGCGUAAAGAGCAUGUAGGUGGUUUGAUAAGUGGACGAUUAAAGACCGAUGCUUAACAUCGGGACUGUUUUCCAUACUGUUUGACUAGAGGAUGGUAGGGGUACGUGGAACUUUAGGUGUAGGAGUGAAAAUCCGUAGAUAUCUAAAAGGGAAACACCCAAAUGGGCGAA
rnacentral:rRNA from 1 species